GGGGCAAUGAUGAGGACUCAUAUGGUCUCGAAGAUAGUUGAUGACCUAAUACUUAUGCUCAAUAGGAUUAUGCUGAGGCCC
ensembl:snoRNA SNORD115 Small nucleolar RNA SNORD115